rnacentral:rRNA from 1 species
AGUGAACGCUGGCGGUAUGCCUAACACAUGCAAGUCGAACGGAACCCCAUUAAUAUUUUGCUCUUCCGGUGGGGGGAGGGCGUGCGGGUAACGAGAGUAUCGUACCCUUCUUUUUGGGGUGGCUUACGGAAGGUAAAGUUACUCUAAUACCGAAUAUACCCUACGGUGGAAGGCAGGGGAACUUCGCAGCUGUCGGGGUUGAAUUAGCGGCGUUCGAGUUUGCUGGUUGGGGGGGUAAAGGCCCACCAAGUCACGGAUCCGUGGCGUGUCUGGGAGGAUGAUCAGCGACACUGGAACUGAAACACGGACCAGGGUACUACGGGAGGCAGCAGUGGGGAAUAUUGGACAAUGGGCGCAAGCCUGAUACAGCCAUACCGCGUGGGUGAAGAAGGCCUUCGGGUUGUGAAGCCCUUUUGUUGGGAAAGAAAAGCAGCCGGCUAAUACCAAGCUGUUCGGACGGUACCCAAAAAAUAAGCACCGGCUAACUACGUG